CGAAUGCUGACAUAAGUAACGAUAAAGCGGGUGAAAAGCCCGCUCGCCGGAAGACCAAGGGUUCCUGUCCAACGUUAAUCGGGGCAGGGUGAGUCGACCCCUAAGGCGAGGCCGAAAGGCGUAGUCGAUGGGAAACAGGUUAAUAUUCCUGUACUUGGUGUUACUGCGAAGGGGGGACGGAGAAGGCUAUGUUAGCCGGGCGACGGUUGUCCCGGUUUAAGCAUGUAGGCUGGUUAUCCAGGCAAAUCCGGAUAAUCAAGGCUGAGGUGUGAUGACGAGGCACUACGGUGCUGAAGUAACAAAUGCCCUGCUUCCAGGAAAA
rnacentral:rRNA from 1 species